rnacentral:rRNA from 2 species
CAGCCGCCGCGGUAAAACCAGCACCUCGAGUGGUCAGGAGGUUUAUUGGGCCUAAAGCAUCCGUAGCCGGUUGCAUAAGUUUUCGGUUAAAUCUAUGCGCUCAACGUAUAGGCCGCCGAAAAUACUGUGCAGCUAGGGAGUGGGAGAGGUACACGGUACUCAAUAGGAAGGGGUAAAAUCCUUUGAUCUAUUGAUGACCACCUGUGGCGAAGGCGGUGUACCAGAACACGUUCGACGGUGAGGGAUGAAAGCUGGGGGAGCAAACCGGAUUAGAUACCCGGGUAGUCCCAGCUGUAAACGAUGCAGACUCGGUGAUGCAUUGGCUUGUGGCCAAUGCAGUGCCGCAGGGAAGCCGUUAAGUCUGCCGCCUGGGAAGUACGUACGCAAGUAUGAAACUUAAAGGAAUUGGCGGGGGAGCAC